GACGAACGCUGGCGGCGUGCUUAACACAUGCCAGUCGAACGGAAAGGCCCUGCUUGCAGGGUGCUCGAGUGGCGAACGGGUGAGUAACACGUGGGUGAUCUGCCCCUUACUUUGGGAUAAGCCUGGGAAACUGGGUCUAAUACUGGAUAGGACCAUGCUGUAGGUGGUGUGGUGGAAAGAUUAGUUUCGGUAAGGGAUGAGCUCGCGGCCUAUCAGCUUGUUGGUGGGGUAAUGGCCUACCAAGGCGUCGACGGGUAGCCGGCCUGAGAGGGUGGACGGCCACAUUGGGACUGAGAUACGGCCCAGACUCCUACGGGAGGCAGCAGUGGGGAAUAUUGCACAAUGGGCGCAAGCCUGAUGCAGCGACGCCGCGUUGGGGAUGACGGCCUUCGGGUUGUAAACUCCUUUCAGCCAUGACGAAGCCCUUGUGGUGACGGUAGUGGUAGAAGAAGCACCGGCUAACUACGUG
rnacentral:rRNA from 1 species